GAUGAACGCUGGCGGCGUGCUUAACACAUGCAAGUCGAACGGGAAUUAUUUUAUUGAAACUUCGGUCGAUUUAAUUUAAUUCUAGUGGCGGACGGGUGAGUAACGCGUGGGUAACCUGCCUUAUACAGGGGGAUAACAGUCAGAAAUGGCUGCUAAUACCGCAUAAGCGCACAGAGCUGCAUGGCUCAGUGUGAAAAACUCCGGUGGUAUAAGAUGGACCCGCGUUGGAUUAGCUGGUUGGUGGGGUAACGGCCCACCAAGGCGACGAUCCAUAGCCGGCCUGAGAGGGUGAACGGCCACAUUGGGACUGAGCCACGGCCCAGACUCCUACGGGAGGCAGCAGUGGGGAAUAUUGCACAAUGGGGGAAACCCUGAUGCAGCGACGCCGCGUGAAGGAAGAAGUAUCUCGGUAUGUAAACUUCUAUCAGCAGGGAAGAUAGUGACGGUACCUGACGAAGACGCCCCGGCUAACUACGUG
rnacentral:rRNA from 1 species